rnacentral:rRNA from 1 species
UGCCCAAGAGAUCGGGAUAACACCUGGAAACAGAUGCUAAUACCGGAUAACAACAGAUGAUGCCUAUCAACUGUUUAAAAGAUGGUUCUGCUAUCACUCUUGGAUGGACCUGCGGUGCAUUAGCUAGUUGGUAGGGUAACGGCAUACCAAGGCGAUGAUGCAUAGCCGAGUUGAGAGACUGAUCGGCCACAUUGGGACUGAGACACGGCCCAAACUCCUACGGGAGGCAGCAGGC